UACGUAGGGGGCGAGCGUUGUCCGGAUUUAUUGGGCGUAAAGAGCGUGUAGGCGGCCAGGUAGGUCUGCUGUGAAAACUCGAGGCUCAACCUCGAGACGUCGGCGGAAACCAUCUGGCUAGAGUCCGGAAGAGGAGAGUGGAAUUCCUGGUGUAGCGGUGAAUGCGCAGAGUAUACGAGGAAGAACCACCGUGGCUAAGGCGG
rnacentral:rRNA from 1 species